UUCUAUGAUUAUGAUAGAAGAGCAAAUAUGAAACCAUCCCGCUCGAGCUCCGGCAUCCCAGAAGUUCAAAAUUUGAUCCACCUUUCCACCUCUUUAAGUCGGGAUAGACUCAGACGUCCGAUUAGAAAGAAAAGGAAUUUCAUUUAUUUAAUUUGCAUGGAAGCUUAGUUGAAUACAAUCAUUGGGAAAAUGAUGGAAAAGCAAGAAUGGUUCAUUGUAUUUUUUCCAAAAACUCCAACAAACUAUCGAGCCAGCCAGCCUAAAAGAUCACUAUACGACGUAGUCUGACAACCUUUUCCUUUUAUCAAAAUUGUGCGCCUGCCGAAUUUAUAGGAUCUUACACUACAAAAUUGAGUGGUGUCACUGUGCAAAACCCCCUCUGCAUCCCAAAGAGUUGUGUUUAACGUGUCUACAAAAUGCAAGAAAUCAAUUAAAAUUU
rnacentral:lncRNA from 1 species